AGUGAACGCUGGCGGUAGGCCUAACACAUGCAAGUCGAACGGCAGCACAGAGGAGCUUGCUCCUUGGGUGGCGAGUGGCGGACGGGUGAGGAAUACAUCGGAAUCUACUCUGUCGUGGGGGAUAACGUAGGGAAACUUACGCUAAUACCGCAUACGACCUACGGGUGAAAGCAGGGGAUCUUCGGACCUUGCGCGAUUGACUGAGCCGAUGUCGGACUAGCUAGUUGGCGGGGUAAAGGCCCACCAAGGCGACGAUCCGUAGCUGGUCUGAGAGGAUGAUCAGCCACACUGGAACUGAGACACGGUCCAGACUCCUACGGGAGGCAGCAGUGGGGAAUAUUGGACAAUGGGCGCAAGCCUGAUCCAGCCAUACCGCGUGGGUGAAGAAGGCCUUCGGGUUGUAAAGCCCUUUUGUUGGGAAAGAAAUCCAUCUGGUUAAUACCCGGAUGGGAUGACGGUACCCAAAGAAUAAGCACCGGCUAACUUCGUGCCAGCCGCCGCCGUAA
rnacentral:rRNA from 1 species